UUGGAGUUUGUUUGUUGAAAUGGGCUAGCACUUGAAGAGUUGGUCGGUUCUAAUUCUGCGAGUUCUUUAUAACUUAUUGUAGAACUUAAUACAAAAAUUGUGUCUUCAUCUUUUCUUUCAAGGAAUGGUUUGUUAUUUCUAUAUCCUAAAUUAUCACUUCUCUCUAAACAGUUUUUAAAAUGUUCUAUACAUUCUUCUACUUUCAUUUCGUCCUUUUGACAUCCUUUACAUUUAAAAGUUAUAUAUUUAUAUUCUUCUGCUAAAUUUU
rnacentral:lncRNA from 1 species